rnacentral:rRNA from 1 species
CAGUCGCCACGGUAAUACAGAGGGUGCGAGCGUUAAUCGGAUUUACUGGGCGUAAAGCGUGCGUAGGCGGCUUUUUAAGUCGGAUGUGAAAUCCCUGAGCUUAACUUAGGAAUUGCAUUCGAUACUGGGAAGCUAGAGUAUGGGAGAGGAUGGUAGAAUUCCAGGUGUAGCGGUGAAAUGCGUAGAGAUCUGGAGGAAUACCGAUGGCGAAGGCAGCCAUCUGGCCUAAUACUGACGCUGAGGUACGAAAGCAUGGGGAGCAAACAGGAUUAGAUACCCGCGUAGUCCCUGUCUCUUAUAU